rnacentral:rRNA from 1 species
GACAGAGGCCUCGAGCGUUAGGCGGAAUCACUGGGCUUAAAGCGCGUGUAGGCGGAUCGUUAAGUGCCUUGUGAAAUCCCACGGCUUAACCGUGGAACGGCUGGGCAUACUGGCGAUCUUGAGCCACCUAGGGGCCUGCGGAACAAGCGGUGGAGCGGUGAAAUGCGUAGAUAUCGCUUGGAACGCCAAUGGUGAAAACAGCAGGCUGGGGGUGUGCUGACGCUGAGACGCGAAAGCCAGGGAGCAAACGGG